rnacentral:rRNA from 1 species
GAUGAACGCUAGCUACAGGCUUAACACAUGCAAGUCGAGGGGUAACAAGAGGAAAGCUUGCUUUUCUUGUUGACGACCGGCGCACGGGUGAGUAACGCGUAUCCAACCUGCCUAUAACUAGGGAAUAACCUUGCGAAAGUAAGACUAAUACCCUAUGAUUUCCUUUGAUGACAUCAGAUUAGGAAUAAAGAUUUAUCGGUUAUAGAUGGGGAUGCGUCCGAUUAGCUUGUUGGCGGGGUAACGGCCCACCAAGGCAACGAUCAGUAGGGGUUCUGAGAGGAAGGUCCCCCACAUUGGAACUGAGACACGGUCCCAACUCCUACGGGAGGCAGCAGUGAGGAAUAUUGGUCAAUGGGCGGAAGCCUGAACCAGCCAAGUAGCGUGCAGGAUGACGGCCCUAUGGGUUGUAAACUGCUUUUAUACAGGAAUAAAGUUAGCCACGUGUGGUUAUUUGUAGGUACUGUAUGAAUAAGGACCGGCUAAUUCCGUGCCAGCCGCCGCAGUAA